UACGUAGGGGGCUAGCGUUGUCCGGAAUCAUUGGGCGUAAAGAGCUCGUAGGCGGUUUGUCGCGUCUGCUGUGAAAACCCGAGGCUCAACCUCGGGCCUGCAGUGGGUACGGGCAGACUAGAGUGCGGUAGGGGAGAUUGGAAUUCCUGGUGUAGCGGUGAAAUGCGCAGAUAUCAGGAGGAACACCGGUGGCGAAGGCGGGUCUCUGGGCCGAUACUGACGCUGAGGAGCGAAAGCGUGGGGAGCGAACAGG
rnacentral:rRNA from 1 species